AAGGGCUUUUAUAAAAAUAAUGUGUAAAAAUUGUGGUAGGUUUGGGAUAGCCUUCUAUUACCUCUAUUUCUUAUUGAAUGUGUAAUGAAAGUCUCAUUCUAUUCUCUGUGUAGUACUGUUAUUUACAUUCCGAACAAAUUAAUUUCCUCCUCUUUCUCUUUCAAACACCAUUGCAACAUUGUGUUAGGUUAUUUGCCUAGUAGUCCCAGCUUCUGUGGUCAGAAAACCUUUUGAGUUGCCCCAGGUUGUUGUGUAGAACAUAUCAUUUAUGUGUGCUGUAGCAGGCCUCUGUAUUGUACAUGAGUAGUUAGCAGCUCGCGACAUAGUACCUGUAUGCUAGAAAUUCUAUGUCAGUAGAAUGCUUGGUUUGAAAAACAAUAUGCUGUAUAGAACAAAUAUUUUUUUCAUAGUAGGUAGGAAAAUUCUUGAUGAAAUUAUCAAGAGCACACUUAGAUAACUUUGCCCCACACUUUGUUAAAAAAGUUCCUAUUUAGGAAGGUACUCUGUGUACCAAUUCAGUUGAUAGUUACCUGUAAAGGAGGGAUCCUGUGUUAAUGGAAACCCCGGUACUUCAUUAUAUUGUUGUUAUAUUAUGAAAUGUUUCACAAUAUGGGCCAAAAUAAUUUUAACGUAACUAGUUGAUGUACUUUUGAACGGUUAACACAACUUGUUACAUUACAAUGAAGCUUGUUAAGACUGAGAGCGUCCAUUGUUGUUUUCACACUGUGAUGUUGUGUAAAAGCCUUGUGCUAUCUUCUUUAAAAGUCAUAUGUUUGUGCCAAAUAUGUUGUAGAUAAGUAGAUCUCGCAUUCAUGAUAAUGUGGAUGCUGUGGAUUCAACCUUCUGUUGUCUUUGAAGUAACUAUGGUAACUGCAGCAUGUUCAUGACAUCACUUCCUGCUUUGUCCCUGUUUGACUUGUAUGUGGUGGCUAGUAUAACCCUAUUUUGUACAUACUUUUUAUAUCAUACACUGUAAAUGCUGUCUUUGAGACCCAAAUAAACUCAGCUUGAUGUU
rnacentral:sRNA from 1 species